GCGGAGGAAUAGGAACUCUCCGGAGGCUCUCCUCGUAGGAGCAGAGCAAGGCGGGGCGGGGCGGUCGAGUCCAGGGCUCCCCCAGCGCCUCGGCCCAAGGGGCGGCCCGCGUGGCACCGCCCCGCCGAAGCUCCUGCGGCUGCCGGGCUCUCCCGCCGAGAUGGCUGCGCUGAGGGCAACGCGGCAAAUGCUUCAAACCAUCACAGGGCAUGGAUGGAGGUCCUAUUGUAGUAAACCUGCUCAAAACUUACAUGUAGGCAAACCUGGAGCUGGCUUUAGCUUUGAACUUACUGAUGAACAGAAAGAGUUCCAAGCUACUGCUCGUAAAUUUGCUGUGGAGGAAAUUAUUCCUGUUGCUGCACAAUAUGACAAAACUGGAGAGUAUCCUGUUCCACUUAUAAAGCGAGCUUGGGAGCUUGGUCUUAUGAAUUGUCACAUACCAGAAAGCUGUGGUGGCCUUGGCCUUGGCAGUUUUGAAACGUGCCUUAUUACAGAAGAGUUAGCUUACGGAUGUACAGGGGUUCAAACCGCCAUUGAAGCAAACUCCCUAGGGCAAAUGCCAGUUAUCAUUGCAGGAAAUGAGCAUCAGCAGAAAAAAUACUUAGGAAGAAUGACAGAAGAACCAAUGAUGUGUGCUUACUGUGUAACAGAGCCUGGAGCAGGCUCUGAUGUGGCUGGUAUAAAAACAAAGGCUGAGAAGAAAGGAGAUGAGUAUGUUAUUAACGGUCAGAAGAUGUGGAUCACAAAUGGGGGGAAAGCAAACUGGUAUUUUUUGCUAGCACGUACAAAUCCAGAUCCAAAAGCUCCUGCAAGCAAAGCCUUUACUGGAUUCAUUGUGGAAGCAGAUAGCCCAGGGAUACAAAUUGGAAGAAAGGAAAUGAAUAUGGGUCAACGCUGCUCAGAUACAAGAGGCAUUGUCUUUGAAGAUGUGAGAGUCCCAAAAGAAAAUGUAUUGAUAGCUGAGGGAGCUGGCUUUAAAAUUGCAAUGGGAGCUUUUGAUAAGACCAGACCACCCGUAGCAGCUGGUGCUGUUGGAUUAGCAAAAAGAGCCCUUGAUGAAGCUACUAGAUACGCUUUGGAGAGAAAAACCUUUGGGAAACCAAUUGUUGAACACCAAGCAGUGUCUUUCUUGCUUGCUGAAAUGGCAAUGAAAGUUGAACUCGCUAGGAUGGCUUACCAGAGAGCUGCAUGGGAAGUUGAUGCCGGUCGCAGGAAUACCUACUAUGCUUCCAUUGCAAAGGCAUUUGCUGGUGACAUUGCAAACCAAGUAGCUGCAGAUGCAGUACAGAUUUUUGGAGGAAAUGGAUUUAAUACUGAAUAUCCUGUAGAAAAACUAAUGAGAGAUGCUAAAAUCUACCAGCAAACAAACAGAAGAGAGGGAUGAUGCAGGCUGUUUCUAGAAGAAAAUGCAAGAAUAAAGGAAACCACAAACAAAACUCUGUGAGAGAGAGUACUAAUUAACAAGAAGCAAUGGAAAAAAUGGAUCAAAGACAACAUAUGAUUUAUGAGGGAACUGCUCAAAUUCAAAGGAUGAUCAUAGCUCGAGAACAUGUUGGCAAAUUUAAGGCUUAAAGAAAUGUAUAAAGUGUGUCUGGUGCUGCUGUAGUAUUCUGUGUUCUUAUGGAAGAAGAUUUUAGUGUGUUUCUCAAGAGAAUUAAAAAGAAAAAAAAAUUCCUUCAAAAUAUUUUUAUUCCAUUCAUUAUUAAGCACCGAUUCUGUUCUCAGUAUCAAAUAAGAUAAUCAGAGUGUAAUUUUUGACAGUCAAUGCUGCAUUUCAAUAAAAUAUUUUUAAGAGAA